CUUGGAAUUUUGCUAUGCUUUGCAUUGUCCUUGGUGGGUGAUCAUGACUACUUUGUGUUUUGGUUUGUUUUGUCUUUCCCUGCCUUUACAGGAUAAGAAGGGUCUGUCUACAGCAAUUCUGAUUGUCUACUUGGACAGUGCCUUCAACCUUCCUAAAAACCACUUUGAGUAUUCAAAUGGUGAAUGUGGAACAAAGAAGA